rnacentral:ribozyme from 15 species
UUUUUUUUUUUUUUUUUUUUUUUUUUUUCGUUAAAAGACAAGCAGUUAAUUAUCCACAAGUGUAGCAGUGAAAUAUAAAAUGAGAUGGUAAAGGCUG